rnacentral:rRNA from 1 species
CCUGAGAAACUCAAAAGAUCGAAUGGGGAGAUUCAUCGCCAGCGACUCCGGCGCUCGCGCGGUUCGCGAUGGGCCCGUUCGCGGGACCACGCGUCCGUGCGUUACAAAUUGCCGGGCGUCGUCGGUGUGCACUUCUCCCCUAGUAGGACGUCGCGACCCGUUGAGUGUCGGUCUAUUACGGAUCCUGACGGAGGUACUGUCGCGUUCCGGGUGCGCGCGAGCGUACUCGUCGCGGCAGAUCCCAGGACGCCUGGCCGGCUGCUCGGCGGUACUCCGACGGUAUCGGGCCGCAAGUAUAAAAACUGCGUUCGACCAGCCGCAAGCGCGGUCAUCGUUAACCCCGGAUGUCGCGGACCUAGUGCCGUCGCCGGGCGUGACCACCUGUUGGCCGGCUGUGCUCUCGAACUGGCUCUACAAUCGUAUUGUGAUACCGGUCGGCGACGCUACUGCUUUGGGUACUUUCAGG